UAAAUGGAUUUUUGGAGC
rnacentral:miRNA from 1 species